UAUCUGCGCCCCCUCCUUCCAAAUAUAUCACACAGCCUAAAAUACCAUUUUUUUUUUCUCCCAGCCACAUCUCUCCCCUGAUUCCUCUAUGUCUCACACCACAGCGCCGCCGCCGCCGCCAACUCCGAUUCCGGGAGGCUCCGGUGGACUCCCAACCCACUGCUCACGGAUCUCCCCGACUCCCUCUAUGUUCUCCCCCGAUACUUCGCACCCGUCCACCGCGCCCCUGCACGCACGCCACGCAACAACCCUAGUCGCCAAGCGUCGCCGGCGUGGCUCCGGUAGCUCUGGUUUAUCAGCCAACUACCACUGCAUCACCUCACGUGCAGCAGCUGGCUCGGGAUUGACAUUGUUUUCUUAUAAAGGAGAUCAACUUGGUUCAAAUUGGAGUGAGAUAGUGUAUCAGCGAUAUAUCAUAUGCGAUCAUGUAUGUCACCGGAGAAGACAGCAUGUCAGUGCAAUUAUGGUUCCAUGAUACUAGCAUGAUUUUUUUAAAUGGAGAAUACCCUUCUCAAUAGACUGAAUCGUUAUUUAUUUGGUGUCACAUGAAUACAUACAGUAUACUAAAUAAACAAGUCCCACUUUUAUCCGUUCGUCCCAAUAUUUGUGUUUAUUCUAUAACCCUUUGUUCCAUCUACACUCGCAGGUUCUGACAUUAUCUUUUACUAAGUGUGUGCUUCUGCUGUUUUUUAACAGAUUUAUCUACUACACUAGUGCAUUGCAAUAAAGAGAAAUCCAUGAAUAUGCAGAAGAAGCCUUGGGAAUUAUUUAAGUCAGUUGUUUAUAGCAUGAUGUUUCCAAAUAGUAGAAGGAUGCAUGAUUGGUCAGCACACAAACUCUUGGCCAGGUUACAGAGACUCGAUUGUUCCAAGUUGAUGUUGUUGGCGCUAAAACAUAGAACACCACUAGUGCCAAGGUGGAUUUACUAGGAGAUUGCAAUAUUGGAUGAUGCAUGGUUCAGAUGUUGAUUGCAAGGUCAAGAAUAGGGGUGCUACUAGAUAGUUUCACAUUGUGUCUUUUUCUAGUGCCAAUGUUUCAAUCAUUAUGUUUCUGAUAUUUUCUGUGUCAAUGUUUCGAUUAUUAUGUUUCAGAAUGGCUGAGACGUUGGUUGCAAGGUCAAGAAUAGGAUUAGUACUAGUUUCAAAUCUUGUAAUCUUUGUAUCAUGUCCUUUGUAAUACAAACAAGUUGAUUUAAUACAUGAGAAAUUUCUUUUUAUUA